UAAAACGUUUGCCUCCGGCGGGGAACCGAUACGCCCCGUAAACAAGAGGCCGGCCCGCCAGAGAGAACCCCAAACUCUCGUAUUAUUCGGUAAUCCUCCGAGUAAAACAAGCAAAAUAAAUCAAAACUUUCAACAACGGAUCUCUCGGUUCUGGCAUCGAUGAAGAACGCAGCGAAAUGCGAUAAGUAAUGUGAAUCGCAGAAUUCAGUGAAUCAUCGAAUCUUUGAACGCACAUUGCGCCCGCCAGUAUUCUGGCGGGCAUGCCUGUCCGAGCGUCAUUUCAACCCUCGAGCCCCCGGGCUUGGUGUUGGGGAUCGGCGCCGCCUCCGUGCGGCCCGCCGGCCCCGAAAUCUAGUGGCGGUCUCGCUGCAGCCUCCUCUGCGUAGUAGAAACACCUCGCACUGGAACGCGGCGCGGCCACGCCGUUAAACAACCCACUAUAUCCAAAGGUUGACCUCGGAUAGGUAGGAAUACCCGCUGAAUUAACUAA
rnacentral:rRNA from 1 species